rnacentral:ncRNA from 1 species
AAGUGCCUAUCAAUUGAUAGGAUAAUAGGGAAAUCGGUGGAAAUCCGAUGCAGCCCCGCUACUGUAAAUGUAUUUGAACUUCGCGUAUACCACUGGCUAACAGCUGGGAAGGUGCGAAAUUUCUAAUAUACAUAAGCCAGGAGACCUGCUUUUAUCUUU